rnacentral:tRNA from 1 species
GGGCCCGUAGCUCAGGGGGUGAGAGCGCGCGCCUGAUAAGCGCGAGGCCGAUGGUUCAAAUCCAUCCGGGCCCA